GAGGCAGCAGGUGGGGAAUAUUGCACAAUGGGCGGAAGCCUGAUGCAGCAACGCCGCGUGCGGGAUGACGGCCUUCGGGUUGUAAACCGCUUUCAGUCGGGACGAAGCGUGAGUGACGGUACCGACAGAAGAAGCACCGGCUAACUACGUGCCAGCAGCCGCGGUGAUACGUAGGGUGCGAGCGUUGUCCGGAUUUAUUGGGCGUAAAGAGCUUGUAGGCGGUUUGUCGCGUCGGGAGUGAAAACUCAGGGCUUAACUCUGAGCUUGCUUUCGAUACGGGCUGACUUGAGGGAGGUAGGGGAGAACGGAAUUCCUGGUGGAGCGGUGGAAUGCGCAGAUAUCAGGAGGAACACCGGUGGCGAAGGCGGUUCUCUGGACCUUUCCUGACGCUGAGAAGCGAAAGCGUGGGGAGCGAACAGGCUUAGAUACCCUGGUAGUCCACGCCGUAAACGGUGGGUACUAGGUGUGGGGGACAUUCCACGUUCUCCGUGCCGCAGCUAACGCAUUAAGUACCCCGCCUGGGGA
rnacentral:rRNA from 1 species